GGGGGGGGGGGGGGGGGGGGGGGGGGGGGGGGGGGGGGGGGCUGCGGCCUCAGAUCCCGCCGAACGCGCUGCGGGCGCGCUGUGCCCCAGCGUGUGCGAGCGGCUACACCGCGACAACCGCCAAAUGAUUUGUUCUCAGAGCAUUGGUCUCUGCGAGCCAAUCCUGAAUUACGUUAGAAGUUUUGUUGAGGAAUUGUCGUUCAUCUGCGACAUCCUCCAUCCAAAAUGGCUUCGGCAUUCCCGAAAAAGACAUCCCCGAAAAAGACAUCGAUACCUCGUCUUUUGUCCAGGGAAAAACUGAAGUCUGUGUCUCUUCUUCCUUCUAAGUUGCUAAGGGAGAAGUUUCACAAUGUGAAGAAGGCCAGCACUGGGACGAGUUUUCUGCCCAGAAUUGGCCCAUUUCCACACACGAGUGAGACUGGUCAAAAGCUGUCACCAGUUCCCCAGAAAAAGAGCUUGUUCCAGGUUUCCCCACCAGAGAUCGUAUUUCAGAACUUCGACGUUAAUGAGGUCUCUGAAAUGCAACUGUUUUUCAUAAAUAAGGACAAGGUAAGUGCUGGGAUGUGGAGCUUUAAGGCUGUGCAGAAAGAGGAGAGUGGUGUAAUUCCCAUAAUGUACAGCAAAGCAAUUUAUCUGCUGCAGGACAUCCAGAAGAAAAUGUCUCAGCACCUUUGCUCUGCAAGAUGGUGGAAAUCUUCCCGUGCUGGGAAUUCUCCCCUGAUUUUGGCCAUGCAUUGAUGGCAUCUAUCCCAAAUGAAUUAAAUGAGUUUCCUUCUCUUGAAAGCUCUGGAUUGAUAGGAAUGUUGAGGGCUGUACAGUUCUUACCUGCUCUCAUGCUUUGCCUUGGGUGUAUACCACAUCUUGGCUAAUCUUGGUUCCUAGUAGGAAUCUCUGCCUCUCUCAGCCUGUUUGGCUCCCUUUGUGCAGCUCACAGUCAAAGCUCAGAGGCUGAGUCUUCUCCACUUUAUGCUGGAAUCACUUAUCAUUAAUAGCAUUGGCUCUGCAGGAAAAGUGUUGUCAAGCAGCUCUGGAAUCAGAUUGAUGUAGCAGAAGCAGCAGGAGGUCUUUAGGUGCCACUUCAGGCUCUUGCUAAGCUUCAUACAUCUCUGCUUAAGUUUUCCAAAAGCAACAUGGUGCUCUGCUUUCCCUUUGGAGAACCACAACACAUCCCAAGCCAUGUGCUCCUGGAGGUUUUCACCUUCACUUGAAAGAAAUUGUGAUUGCUUUGCUGUUUCCCAAGAGAGUUGAGAGGGAAAAGUUGAAAAAUGUCAGCAGUUGUGUUCCACUGCAAGGAGGAAAACAGACCAUUUGAGUUUCAGUCAGGGAAACAUUUUCUCAAAUGAGCCUUGUGCCAAGAGUGGGCUGGUGGGAAGAGACAGGAGGGUCUCAAAAUCAUCUGGUUUAGACUUUUUGAGAGCAUUUUGGUGCUCAGGGUUGAUAUCUAUGUGCUAGAAAAUGCAUGUGUGCUGUGUCUGUGUAUUCCAAAGGGCAGAACAUGUCAGGAAUGCCCAGCAGCCCAGCUUGCCUGUACAAGCAGCAAGAACCCUCAGAGAGCCAAGAUUGGCUUUUAAUACUGGAACCACACUGUGAGUCAGUGCUGGUCAUGUUUCUCCAGGCAGAAAGUGCCUUUGAAGCCCAUGGUUGAUAGGCACAGCCUGUCUGUGUUUCUGUCACCUUUGGCAAGCUGAUUGCUUUCAUUGUUUUAUGAUUCUCCCUUGCUGCUUUACUGCCCACUUAAAUUCUCUUUGCCAUCUCCUUGUUUUAGGGAUUGUCUUGCUGUGUUCCUUCUUUUGCUUUUCAGGUUUGCUUUUAUUCCCAGUAAGGUCACAAUGUUUGGUCUCCUUUCUUGCUGGUCUGCCUGCAUGACUGUAUUCCCAGAACUGCCCUACCCAAACCUGAUCUGCUAGAAGGGAAUUUCUUCCUUCCUCUAGGAUAAUGUGCUGUUUUGCUUUCAGGUAGCACCUUCCCCCUCUGGAACACAACUGCAUGGCUGUGUGCAGGCAGAAGCCAGCAGGUCUUUUGGCCUUGUUGAAUAUGCAGAUGGCUUGGUUCAGGUGCUCUGUCUCCAUCCUGCUGGUGCUGACCUGCUCGGCCCUUCCUUCCCACCAGGCAUUG
ensembl:lncRNA